AUUCAAAGAAUAUUUUUUUUCAAUACAUGUACAUGUAAAGAGUUAUUAAAAAUCUGGUAGAUAUUUCAAAUAUAGCUAAAUGUCUUUCUGAAGACUGUUUAGAAUGUGAAAACGAUCUUUGGAAUAAAGAGACAAGAACUCUGUCAGAAACACUGUGUAUAUGUCGUUUGUAACUGGUACUGCAUGAAAAAACUGUAAAAGCAUCAAUAUCACUUUAAAAUGUUUUGUUGAUAUGUCCAAUACCAUUCAUUUAUAUGGAUAACAGACAGACCG
rnacentral:lncRNA from 1 species